rnacentral:lncRNA from 1 species
CUCGCCCCCAUGGCAAUGAUUGGAGGAGGGUCUAGUGAGAAAGGAGAAUUGACCUUUGAUUGAAAAGGUACCUUGAAGACUGUUCGGUCUGAUAAGCAGAGUCCAAAUUCUUUUAAAUGGACCACCUCCAAUGUUAGAUAUAAAAAACAGAAAGAGGUAAAUUUUACGGCCAUGCCGGUAUGUGUAUGGCCCCCGUUUUUGUGGGUGGUAAGUAGCAAAAGCUUAAAUCAGAAUCAGAUAGAGAUAGAUUGCUCACAAGAAAAAUGUUUUUAUGCCUUAUGCUGGGAUGCUAAGAAAUAUCCUUUUGCUUUGGUUACCCGCAUGCCUAGAUUUGUUCCUGUUCCUGUAGAUGCCCCUAAUAGCUUGACUUUGUUUCAAGGGAAAAGAGAUUUUGGUAUCAUAGUUGGACUGGUGGCCACAGUGGUGGUUGCAGCCUCUGUCACGGCCUUGGCACUCGCUCUAUCUACUACUGUUCAAACAACACAAACUAUUAACGAGCUUUCUAUGAUGGUCACAACGGCCUUAAAUAAACAGGCAACAGCCAACUCAAAGAUACAAGGAGUGUUGAUGUUGAUAAAUCAAUGCAUAGACCUAGACUAAGAGCAAGUGGAUAUUUUUUGGCAGUUGGCUCAAUUGGGCUGUGCCUGGCUUUUGUGUUACUUCUGUUCAGUUUGAAAAUUCUACAAGAGCAGCAAAUUUGUCAAAAACUUUGUCUCGUUAUAUGUUACAGAAUUGGACCAUGUAAUUUGAGCAAACGCUUCGAGAGUUGAAAAUUCCUAUUCUACAAGUGAAUUCUACGCAUUUCGCACUUUCACUGACAAAUGGCUUCUCCACCUGGAUUUCCUCUGCAUUUUCCUACUUUAAGGAGUGGGUGGGGGUAGGCUUGUUUGCCGUGAUCCUAUGCGGUGGAGCGUUGCUUUUGCUCUGGAUGGUCUGUAAACUUAAAGCCCAAACAAAAAGGGACAAGAUGGUAAUAGAACAAGCACUUGCAGCAUUAGAACAUGGUACCUCCCCUGAUAUAUGGUUAUCUAUACUUAAGCAAUAGGUCGCUGGCCACUCAGCUCUUGUCCUGGGGAAUGUGUCCCUACCUGCAGGGUCUCUUCCUGCCCUAUGGUCUGAGAAAUGCUAAUUAGCCUCUUCCAUCUGGAGGGGUGAGUGUUUCAUGAUCUUCCCAAAUUUCCUAUGCUGACCUUUUCACUCUCUCGCUCUGCCCUCCCCAUACUUCAUCUCUCGUGUCCCAAUAUUCAUCCAAUCCCCCACUCAGUUCCUUCUCUCCAUAGAAUUUGAUGUCUAUAAUCCAUUAACCCUUCUCAGCGACAUACAAAUGUCUGCCCUUGGGCCCUCCUUGUUAUUUAGCUUUUUUGCUUCUGUAGUUCUUAGCAUGGGUGUCCUGUGUUUUAUGACUAAUAGUGACAUAUAAGUGAGUAAGUAUAGUGUUCUGGUUCUGGGUUUCUGUGCUCAGGAUGACCAGAAAAGAAAAAAUAAAAAUAA